AGAGAGGAAUGGAUAUUACCUUGGAAAGUUACUGAUGCUUGUGAUCAAGUGGAUGUAUGGACUGAUGUUUCUUCUAUAGACAGAUUGCAUGUGCGUGUGUGGCUGCAUACGACACAGGCACAGAUGGACCACGAGUCAUCUUCCUCCCACGUUCCCUCCCACUUACCAUGACCCCUCCGCCCCAUGCAGGAGUGACGCUGACCCCGGGCCACAUCGCGUACUCCAGUGCCAGCAACAACGCAGCCUCUCUGUCUGCAGGUGCAUCAACAUAGGAAACAGAUGGGGAAAUUGGGCAGAAACCAGGACUGAACCUCCAAAAACAGAAUCUUCCCUGGUCCAGACAGCACAGUCUGGCUCAUCGUCUUGGAUGCCAGAAGGCAAAGAUGGGAUCUACUCAUAACAUGGUUGAUUCAGUGACUCACUUCUCAGAUCCUUGAAGAAAGGGAAGGAGCUCCUGUGUCGGACGGAAGAUGAAGCUCUAGAUUCUCUCUGCUGAAAGCAUGUCCUCAGCUGAUAACACGGAGGAACUGCAGCACUGCACUUUCCUCUUGGACAGCUCAUUGUGGUUUCAUUUCAGUCUAUGUGUGUGUGUGUGCUUGCGUUCGUGUGCGAGCGCGCGUGCGUGUGUGUGUGUGUGUCGGGUACUGCUUGCAUGCUCCAUACAUUAUUCCUGCUGCCUUUCCCUCAUACAUGCUUUUGGUGGCAGGUAGGGCCACUGUGUCAGAGGAGUAACAGAACAGGUAAUGAAAAAGAAUGUGCAUCAUUACCAGAACAUGUCACAGCACAAAAUCUACACAGUUAAGCUAGAUGGUAUGGAAAAGGUUUGGAGGUGAGGUAGGGGGCAAUGAGCAUGUGCAGUUGUCAUGGCAUCAUAUAUCUUCGCCCAGGACAUAAAAACAAUGAAUGGUCAUGUCACUCAUUGAUGAAGGUUCCUAUUGCUGUUUGGAGGAACAGGUGUGAAAAUGUGUAUUACAUAUUUUCAUCAUGGGGUUUAAUACAUCUUCUGACAUGUCUCUUAACUAUCUCUGGGGAAUCUUUCGUCUGAGGGAAAGCUACUACACAGAAUUAUGUUUAAAACCUUUCAAAUUAAGGUUGUUGUGUGUAUAGAAAUGGUACCUACUACAUCAAAGACAUAUUGUAAAUUGGUUUACUUACUAAUAAUUCCAUCGUCUGUCCUGUCACUUAUGCCUGAACCUAGGAGUACCUCAUUGCACCCAAUUAUAAUCUUUCACUUGAAAUUCAAGGUUAGGCAAAGCAAAGAUUCCACUGGCAUUGCGUUGAGGUAAAAAUACCAUAGCAUCACUGAUAAGCAAAUGGUAUAAAGGAUAGAACAUUUUUCUAGUGUCAGGUUAACUCUGUGAGUGCAAUAUUUAAAUUCUAACCUACUUCUCAGUGCUGUGAAAGGCUGUAACUGUGGAGAUGAGUUGAAAGCCAGUAUGGGUAAACUGCAUUCUAAUUAUCACUGGAUCAACUGUUGUGCAUUACAAUUUCUCCCUCUCACUCACUCACUCACACACACACACACACACACACAGGCACACACUUGUAAAUAUCCAGGCACGCGUACCCAAUCGAGCAGAAGAAUCAAACAGCUAUGCUGUUAUUUCAUGUCACUCGAAAAGAAAAGAGGGACAUCCACCGCGGUGCGGCUGCUGGCUAAGGAUGACAGCUGCGAGCAUCAAAAUCCUUGGAGUGGCUUUAUUUCACAGAGUUGCACACACUCAGGAGGCAGAGCUAAAUUUAACACACAGGCUCUGGCAGCUCCAUGCAGCAGCCAAAUUAUCAACGAUGCACUGAGAUGGUGAGAGCGCCUGGGAUAAUCCCAGCCUUCUGAAAUAGUUAU